GCAGUUUUCUGCUGAUAGCAGCACCGGCCUGGGGUAUCAGGGACGGCAAACAGGGACAAUUGCCAUGGGGACAGCAGCUCUGAAACGGGGUAGAUCCCGUCAAACGGGGACGAAUAUUAACCAUAAUCCAUAAAGAAGAUGAUGGCACACUCUCAGCACUCUGCUUCUGUGCCACGAAGGUCGAACAGUCCUUACAUAAUCUUCUCAACACCUGCCGCCGCCAUCUUGGAAGAGGGCAACCCUGGGCUGCAACAACAUGCGGCAGCCAAAUUAAGGACAUCAUCCUGUCCCCUGAAUAUUCUACCCCUUGGGUAGUUAAUCCAUGCAGUCCUCAAGUCCCCUGGGGACCUGGAAUAAAAUGACAAAAACCUUCUGUAGAAAAAGGAAUAAUAUUCCUCUUGCCUACUACCUAGGACAAAUAAACACAACUGUGAUUUAAGGUAA